CCCUCCCUCUGGCGGCAGGCUUAACACAUGCAAGUCGAACGCCCCGCAAGGGGAGUGGCGCACGGGUGAGUAACGCGUGGAUAUCUGCCUUUUGGUUCGGAAUAACCCCGGGAAACUGGGGCUAAUACCGGAUGGUUCCUACGGGAUAAAGAUUUAUCGCCAAAAGAUGAGUCCGCGUACGAUUAGCUAGUUGGUGAGGUAAUGGCUCACCAAGGCGACGAUCGUUAGCUGGUCUGAGAGGACGAUCAGCCACACUGGGACUGAGACACGGCCCAGACUCCUACGGGAGGCAGCAGUGGGGAAUAUUGGACAAUGGGGGCAACCCUGAUCCAGCCAUGCCGCGUGAGUGAUGAAGGCCUUCGGGUUGUAAAGCUCUUUUGGCGGGGACGAUGAUGACGGUACCCGCAGAAUAAGCCCCGGCUAACUUCGUG
rnacentral:rRNA from 1 species